rnacentral:rRNA from 1 species
GGAACCUGGUUGAUCCUGCCAGUAGUCAUAUGCUUGUCUUAAAGGUUAAGCCAUGCAUGUGUAAGUUUAAGUCUUAUAUGAUAAAACUGCGAAUGGCUCAUUAAAACAGUUAUAAUUUAUAUGGUUAUUUCUAUAUGGAUAACUGUAGUAAUUCUAGAGCUAAUACAUGCGUUAAGCCUGACUUAAUUGAAGGG